ACGAACGCUGGCGGCGUGCUUAACACAUGCAAGUCGAACGUGAUUUUUGUGGAAAUUCUUUCGGGAAUGGAAAUGAAAUGAAAGUGGCGAACGGGUGAGUAGCACGUGAGCAACCUACCUUACACAGGGGGAUAGCCGUUGGAAACGACGAUUAAUACCGCAUGAGACCACAGAAUCGCAUGAUAUAGGGGUCAAAGAUUUAUCGGUGUAAGAAGGGCUCGCGUCUGAUUAGCUAGUUGGAAGGGUAAAGGCCUACCAAGGCGACGAUCAGUAGCCGGUCUGAGAGGAUGAACGGCCACAUUGGAACUGAGACACGGUCCAAACUCCUACGGGAGGCAGCAGUGGGGAAUAUUGCACAAUGGGGGGAACCCUGAUGCAGCGACGCCGCGUGAGCGAAGAAGGUUUUCGAAUCGUAAAGCUCUGUCCUAUGAGAAGAUAAUGACGGUAUCAUAGGAGGAAGCCCCGGCUAAAUACGUG
rnacentral:rRNA from 1 species